AACGAACGCUGGCGGCAUGCCUAAUACAUGCAAGUCGAACGAGAUCUUCGGAUCUAGUGGCGCACGGGUGCGUAACGCGUGGGAAUCUGCCCUUGGGUUCGGAAUAACUUCUGGUAACGGAACCUAAUACCGGAUGAUGACGUAAGUCCAAAGAUUUAUCGCCCAAGGAUGAGCCCGCGUAGGAUUAGCUAGUUGGUGGGGUAAAGGCCCACCAAGGCGACGAUCCUUAGCUGGUCUGAGAGGAUGAUCAGGCACACUUGGACUGAGACCCGGCCCAGACUCCUACGGGACGCAGCAGUAGGGAAUAUUGGACAAUUGGGGAAACCCUGAUCCAGCCAUGCCGCGUGAGUGAUCAAGGCCUUAGGGUUGUAAAGCUCUUUUACCCGAGAUGAUAAUGACAGUACCGGGAGAAUAAGCUCCGGCUAACUCCGUG
rnacentral:rRNA from 1 species